GACUCCUUUACGCCGAAUCGCGGCCGGGCGCCGCGUACGGGGGACUUCGAGCACAUCGGGGUGAAUCGGCGUUUGCCGUAGGGCACCUUCUGUCCGAACCCGCAACUAACCUCGGAGGCAAUUUAUGAAGGAAGG
rnacentral:sRNA from 2 species